rnacentral:rRNA from 1 species
UGGGGAAUAUUGCACAAUGGGCGCAAGCCUGAUGCAGCCAUGCCGCGUGUAUGAAGAAGGCCUUCGGGUUGUAAAGUACUUUCAGCGAGGAGGAAGGUGUUGUGGUUAAUAACCGCAGCAAUUGACGUUACUCGCAGAAGAAGCACCGGCUAACUCCGUGCCAGCAGCCGCGGUAAUACGGAGGGUGCAAGCGUUAAUCGGAAUUACUGGGCGUAAAGCGCACGCAGGCGGUCUGUCAAUUCGGAUGUGAAAUCCCCGGGCUCAACCUGGGAACUGCAUCCGAAACUGGCAGGCUAGAGUCUUGUAGAGGGGGGUAGAAUUCCAGGUGUAGCGGUGAAAUGCGUAGAGAUCUGGAGGAAUACCGGUGGCGAAAGCGGCCCCCUGGACAAAGACUGACGCUCAGGUGCGAAAGCGUGGGGAGCAAACA